CAGUCGAGCGAUGGAUUGAGAGCUUGCUCUCAAGAAGUUAGCGGCGGACGGGUGAGUAACACGUGGGUAACCUGCCCAUAAGACUGGGAUAACUCCGGGAAACCGGGGCUAAUACCGGAUAACAUUUUGAACUGCAUGGUUCGAAAUUGAAAGGCGGCUUCGGCUGUCACUUAUGGAUGGACCCGCGUCGCAUUAGCUAGUUGGUGAGGUAACGGCUCACCAAGGCAACGAUGCGUAGCCGACCUGAGAGGGUGAUCGGCCACACUGGGACUGAGACACGGCCCAGACUCCUACGGGAGGCAGCAGUAGGGAAUCUUCCGCAAUGGACGAAAGUCUGACGGAGCAACGCCGCGUGAGUGAUGAAGGCUUUCGGGUCGUAAAACUCUGUUGUUAGGGAAGAACAAGUGCUAGUUGAAUAAGCUGGCACCUUGACGGUACCUAACCAGAAAGCCACGGCUAACUACGUGCCAGCAGCCGCGGUAAUACGUAGGUGGCAAGCGUUAUCCGGAAUUAUUGGGCGUAAAGCGCGCGCAGGUGGUUUCUUAAGUCUGAUGUGAA
rnacentral:rRNA from 1 species